rnacentral:rRNA from 1 species
UACGUAGGGUGCAAGCGUUGUCCGGAAUUAUUGGGCGUAAAGAGCUCGUAGGCGGUCUGUCGCGUCGGCUGUGAAAUCCCGAGGCUCAACCUCGGGUCUGCAGUCGAUACGGGCAAACUAGAGUAUUGCAGGGGAGACUGGAAUUCCUGGUGUAGCGGUGAAAUGCGCAGAUAUCAGGAGGAACACCGGUGGCGAAGGCGGGUCCCUGGGCAAUAACUGACGCUGAGGAGCGAAAGCGUGGGGAGCGAACAGG